rnacentral:lncRNA from 1 species
CUAACAAUCCCCAGUUUCAAACCUAAUACAACUACCUCUCCAAAACGGCCGGUCGUGAAAAUUGUAUCCUCUAUUCACUUCAAAAACCCAACCAAACGUCGACGGAUUCAUCUCCACCUCCGAUGGCCCCUCGACACCUGUCGUCGGCAGGUUGUCUUUCCCCAAAUGAGUGCAUCUCCGAAGCCGACGUUGAGAACUGUUGAUUAAGCCGAAUUCGCCAUCACCACUGUGUUCUCCAUCAUAGGCUGUAGGCAACUAAAUUGGGCCCCUUUUGCAAUCCCCAAGCACUUGCCCAUUCGUCAAAGUAGCGAACAGGUCGACCAUCUCCUCCUCAACUUCAUCUGCUGCUAAAUGAGCUUGGUGACCAAAAAAACAACCACCACCAGCUAUUCCCAUUCAGGUAGGAGUUUAACUUCUUCUUCAUGCUGUCAUUUCCACGCUUCUUCUGGAAAAUCAAAUAUUUUUUUUGUUGUUGCCUUGCAUCUACAUGUUUAUUAUCUUGAAGAAGCUUGGGCCAAUUCUUAUUUUGCAAUAGUACGUUCUUCAUAAUGUAUACAUUAUUUAUGUAAUUCAGAUUUUCCAUUUAGUUAGUGCGUCAACAUGAAAACCGAUUGAUUGUUUGUUGUUGAUUUUCAUACUAGAAUGCUAGGGAAGAAUUCAGGUGUUUGUCAUAGUUGUAGAGGUAAGGGACACUUAUUUGCCGAAUGCCCGACCAAAGUGCGAUGUCCAUUGUGUAAGCAUGGAUAUCAGAAAAUGGGCAAAUCACCGACGCAGAGAUUGAGCUUACCUCACUCACCAAUAAGUCAUGGCUUCGAGGCUUUUUGACAGUUCAAAUUGCUACCGGGAGUUUACAUCAUGUGGGAGAGAGUUGGAGGUGGAAAAUAUGUUCCGGCAAAGGUUCCAAUUUCUAGAUUUCUCUCUUCGACGGAAUCAGUGCAAUGAUGGCUGUGAUAAUUCAAGAAACCAUCGAUUGAUGGCUGGUCAGACGGCAGUGCAGCAGGCAAUAGUCGUCGGAAGAGUGAGCUUGCGUUUUGCUAUUUUGGGCGAAAGGGAAUAGUGAGCUUGCUUUUUUGUUAUUUUUUGGGGGGAAUUAAAUGCAUUUACUCGGAGUCAGACUCGUUUCCCUCCACAAUCGUUUUUCUUAUUUUUUUUAUUAGCAACACGUCACAUUUUUAAAUUACCUUGUAAAACCCCUGGCAUAUCAUUUUGUACGCCAAGCUUAAUUCUUAUAUGAUAGUCUUGUGUGUCAAUUGUCUGUGGAUGAACAUCGACCUUUUCACUUG